rnacentral:pre_miRNA from 1 species
GGCCUCCCUCUGUGGGGUGAUUGAUCCGGGGGCCCCGCGAUCGAUCGCCCCACAGAGGGAGGCC